rnacentral:misc_RNA from 1 species
GCUUCUCUUCCCCUCUCCCUCCUCCUCCUCGGCCUCCUCUCCGCUUCACUUCCAUCCACCUCCGCAGCCCUUUUUAGUGAAUACAUCGGCGCCGAGUUCAACGGCGUCAGGUUUUCCCAAGUCCCCAUCAACCCCGGCGUCGACUUCCACUUCAUCCUCUCCUUCGCCAUCGACUACACCACCGGCUCCAACCCCACCCCGACCAACGGCCACUUCUCUCCCUUCUGGGACACAGACAACCUCUCCGCCUCCCAAGUCGCCGCCAUCAAACGCGCUCAUGGCAACGUCAAGGUGGCAGUCAGCCUCGGCGGCG